rnacentral:rRNA from 1 species
AUUGAACGCUGGCGGCAGGCCUAACACAUGCAAGUCGAGCGGAGCGGCGGACGGGUGAGUAAUGCCUAGGAAUCUGCAUGGUAGUGGGGGAUAACGUCCGGAAACGGGCGCUAAUACCGCAUACUAUCAGAUUAGCCUAGGUCGGAUGAGCUAGUUGGUGGGGUAAAGGCCUACCAAGGCGAAGAUCCGUAACUGGUCUGAAAGGAUGAUCAGUAACACUGGAACUGAGACACGGUCCAGACUCCUACGGGAGGCAGCAGUGGGGAAUAUUGCACAAUGGGCGCAAGCCUGAUGCAGCCAUGCCGCGUGUGUGAAGAAGGCUUUCGGGUGGUAAAGCACUUUCAGCGGGGAGGCGUUACCCGCAGAAGAAGCACCGGCUAACUCCGUGCCAGCAGCCGCGGUAAUAC